rnacentral:tRNA from 1 species
AAAUAAGAAACAAUAUAUUGUAUUUAGUUUCGACCUAAAAAUUAGUCUUUUAGACCUUAUUUA